rnacentral:lncRNA from 1 species
UGUAGCAUUUAACUAGACGUAGUUUUAGAGGAAGAGAUAAAUCUUUGCUUAUGAUUAGCUUUUUCAUAUUGUUAAAUGCUGCUCUAGCUCGUUUUAUUCUAGCCUUAAUUUCUGUGCUCUGUUCCCAUUUUGCAUUAACGUUGGUGCCAAGGUAUACAUAAGAUUAUACAUGGUCAAUUAGUAUGUUGUUUAUCCGUACCAGAGUCAGGCAAAUAUGCAAUAGUGCAUAUGCAUAUGCAUUUGCAUAUUUUCGUAGUUUCUUUUGAAUUUUGCAUAUACUGGUAUAUUUAAAAAUAAAGUGCAUGUAGUAGGUUUUAUUUUAUUUACAAAGCGAAUUUAUUUGUUUAACCAUGGUUCAAAUAACUUCGUACCUGAUAUUUCUAUGUGAAUCAAGGCAUCCAGAAUUAGUCAUUGAUAUGGGAAAAUUAUUAUGCUCAGCAUGCAGUAAGUAAAUACAAAGUAAACCUAAAUAUUUUAAAUUGCAUAAAAAUAAUCAGAAAAC